CUCAGUGCAGGUGAAGGGUGAUCCCUCAGUGCAGGUGAAGGGUGAUCCCUCAGUGCAGGUGAAGGGUGAUCCCUCAGUGCAGGUGAAGGGUGAUCCCUCAGUGCAGGUGAAGGAAGGGUGAUCCCUCAGUGCAGGUGAAGGGUGAUCCCUCAGUGCAGGUGAAGGGUGAUCCCUCAGUGCAGGUGAAGGGUGCUCCCUCAGUGCAGGUGAAGGGUGCUCCCUC